GAUGAACGCUAGCGGCAGGCUUAAUACAUGCAAGUCGAGGGGCAGCAUGAGUGUAGCAAUACAUUUGAUGGCGACCGGCAAACGGGUGCGGAACACGUACACAACCUUCCUAUAAGUGGGGAAUAGCCCAGAGAAAUUUGGAUUAAUACCCCGUAACAUAAUGAUGUGGCAUCACAUUAUUAUUAUAGCUACGGCGCUUAUUGAUGGGUGUGCGGCUGAUUAGAUAGUUGGCGGGGUAACGGCCCACCAAGUCUACGAUCAGUAGCUGAUGUGAGAGCAUGAUCAGCCACACGGGAACUGAGACACGGGCCCGACUCCUACGGGAGGCAGCAGUAAGGAAUAUUGGUCAAUGGACGCAAGUCUGAACCAGCCAUGCCGCGUGAGGGAUUAAGGUCCUCUGGAUUGUAAACUUCUUUUAUCUGGGACGAAAAAAGGCGAUUCUUCGUCACUUGACGGUACCAGAUGAAUAAGCACCGGCUAACUCCGUGCCAGCAGCCGCCGUAAUAC
rnacentral:rRNA from 1 species